rnacentral:rRNA from 1 species
UACGGGGGGGGCAAGCGUUGUUCGGAAUUACUGGGCGUAAAGGGCUCGUAGGCGGCCAACUAAGUCAGACGUGAAAUCCCUCGGCUUAACCGGGGAACUGCGUCUGAUACUGGAUGGCUUGAAUCCGGGAGAGGGAUGCGGAAUUCCAGGUGUAGCGGUGAAAUGCGCAGAUAUCAGAGAGGAACACCGAUGGCGAAGGCAGUCUUCUGGGCCAAAACUGACGCUGAGGAGCGAAAGCGUGGGGAGCGAACAGGA